rnacentral:misc_RNA from 1 species
AACGCAUAUUGCACUCUCUGGUAUUCCGGAGAGUAUGCUUGUUUGAGUAUCUGUAAACAUCUCAAAUCUCGGGGCGCUUGCGCUCGAAGAGAAUUGGAUUUGAGCGAUCCCGACUCCUUCGUCAGAACGAGGAGGGUCGCUUAAAAUGCAGGUGCAGCUGGACAUUCUUCUGAGCUAAAAGCAUAUUUAUUUAGUCCCGUCAAACGGAUUAUUACUUUUGCUUCAGCUAAUAUAAAGGUCGAAUGGACUACCAACGCUGAUUGCAGGAAAACUCGUUCUUAACCGAACUUGUGAACUCGAUCUCAAAUCAAGUAAGACUACCCGCUGAACUUAA